rnacentral:rRNA from 1 species
CACGUAGGGGACGAGCGUUGUCCGGAUUCAUUGGGCGUAAAGCGCGCGUAGGCGGCUCGGAAAGUCGGUCGUGAAAUGCCGGGGCUCAACCCCGGGACUGCGUCCGAUACUUCCGGGCUGGAGGUAGGUAGGGGAGAUCGGAAUUCCUGGUGUAGCGGUGAAAUGCGCAGAUAUCAGGAGGAACACCAACGGCGAAGGCGACUUUCUGGUCUGUAACUGACACUGAGGCGCGAAAGCGUGGGGAGCAAACAGG